GAUGAACGCUGGCGGCGUGCCUAAUACAUGCAAGUCGAGCGAACAGACGAGGAGCUUGCUCCUCUGACGUUAGCGGCGGACGGGUGAGUAACACGUGGAUAACCUACCUAUAAGACUGGGAUAACUUCGGGAAACCGGAGCUAAUACCGGAUAAUAUAUUGAACCGCAUGGUUCAAUAGUGAAAGACGGUUUUGCUAUCACUUAUAGAUGGAUCCGCGCCGCAUUAGCUAGUUGGUAAGGUAACGGCUUACCAAGGCAACGAUGCGUAGCCGACCUGAGAGUGUGCUCGCCCCCACUGAACCUGAACCCCCGCCCCCCCCCCUCCGGAGGACACCAUGGGGAACUCUUCAGCAAUGGGCGAAUGCCUACCGCACCCCCGCCGGGUGUGUAAUAAGGCUCUUCGUUUCGAAAACCUCUUUUUUUGGGAAAAAAAAACUUUUUAAUAACCUCUCCCCUUCUUCCCGGUCCUUAAUCAAAAGGCCCCGCCUACCUCCGUC
rnacentral:rRNA from 1 species